rnacentral:lncRNA from 1 species
GGUGGUGCCAGCCAGAGUGUCGCGUCCGUGCCAGAGGAAGCUUCUCUGUGUGUGUGUCUUAUGUGUGAGCGAGCGUGUGUUUCGGUCGCCGCCACCUACCCAGCUGCUACUACUGCUACUAUAAUUACUACUACUACUACUGCUGCUGCUACUGCUGCUGCUACGAAUAGUACUGUUUCCUGCUGCCUACUGCUGCUCUCUCUCUGCUUCCUGCUAGCGCCCAGCUGAUCGUCUCUUUUGCGGGAUUCUUGAAAAGGCUUUUCGACUUCUCUUCGGAUUUGGAUGAGACUGCGGAAACUACUGCUGCUGCCGCCACCGCCUCCUCCUCCUCCUCCUCCAGCGUCACUUCGUGUGUGGGUGUCCCCGUAAAGUGUCCCUGGAGGGCUGCGGACACCCCCUCCUCCCAGGGACAUCAGGGGGCCCGGCCGGCUCGUCUCGUCUCUCGCCGUCUCUCGUCUCGUCUCCCGGUGCUCUCUUGCCGAACGUCUCUCGUCUGUUGGAGUCUCGGGAUCUCACACUUUUUUCUCCUUGUUUCGCUCCGCGUCGAGGAACUCUCUUCUCUUCAUUAUUUUUCCUUUUCUGUUUCUCUUUGAGCAAGGUCCAGUUACAAGUCUAUUAAGGAGGAAACUUAUUAUUUAUUCAUUCACAGUUUUUACACGAGAAGAUAAGCGUAAUCGUGAUUGAAAAUAAUAAAAGUAAAAAAAAAGAAAGAAAAAAGGGACUUUCCGUGUGCUAGAAAUCCAUCUCUUUAUCGACGAGUCCAAGACAAUUCAGUCAUCGAACUCGGUCGGUUGAGUAAGACAAGGUGCUGAGACUCCUUUCAAGUCACGUCCGAGAUUCCUCCUCCUCCUCCUCCUCCUCCUCCUCCUCCUCCUCCUCCUCUUCCUCCUCCUUCGACGUGUCUGCUUUGAGCGAAGGAUCCCAGUUGCUUCAGGGCUGAGACGUCCUACUUGAAAGGAUAGAGAAGAAUAGGAAAAGAAAACGGCAUUCAGGAGGAGAGGAAAAGAGAUUGGAAGUAAAGGAGAGGAGAGAAGAGAAAAGUAGAGAAAGAAGGAAAAGUGAAAUAAAAGGGAAGUAAAGAAGGAGAAGAAAAAAACAACAAAGGAAAGAAAAGAAGUGAAGAGAGACAAAGAAGGAGAGAAAAAGGAGUGAAUAGAGACACUGAAAGGAAAUGGAAUGAAAUUGAUUCGUUUUGUUUACACGAGAGAGUGAAAUCAGCUGGAACCCCGAGGGCCGCUCGAUCAGACCUCGACCAGAAGAGAAAGAGAGAGAGAGAGAGAGAAAGAGAGAAAGACAGUGUAUUGUUUUCGUGAAUUUCAACCCAACGCGAGCGGAUUUUCGCUAAACAAGACGCUAAAUAUCCCUCCAGAAGAAAGUCUGUGUGGAAUAUAUAAAAAAAGAGAGAGAGAAAUAAAAAAAAAACAAUAACAGUG